rnacentral:rRNA from 1 species
GACGAACGCUGGCGGCGUGCUUAACACAUGCAAGUCGAACGGAAAGGCCCUGCUUUUGUGGGGUGCUCGAGUGGCGAACGGGUGAGUAACACGUGAGUAACCUGCCCUUGACUUUGGGAUAACUUCAGGAAACUGGGGCUAAUACCGGAUAGGAGCCCCUGCUGCAUGGAGGGGGGUGGAAAGUUUCGGCGGUUGGGGAUGGACUCGCGGCUUAUCAGUUUGUUGGUGGGGUAGUGGCAUACCAAGGCUUUGACGGGUAGCCGGCCUGAGAGCGUGACCGGCCACAUUGGGACUGAGAUACGGCGCAGACUCCUACGGGAGGCAGCAGUGGGGAAUAUUGCACAAUGGGCGGAAGCCUGAUGCAGCAACGCCGCGUGCGGGAUGACGGCCUUCGGGUUGUAAACCGCUUUCGCCUGUGACGAAGCGUGAGUGACGGUAAUGGGUAAAGAAGCACCGGCUAACUACGUG